AAUUAUGUAUAUCAAACCUUGCUCAUUAGCUUUUUUCCAUAAGUCCAGAGUAUCUAUAGCAAUGUUGAAUAGAAUGGGAGACUCGGGAUCUAUUAUAACAUUAAUUCAUUCAUCUUCUUCAACAAGCAUAAGAGCACAGAACGCACAAACAUCAUCAUUGUUACAAGAUCCAAAGGAUCCAGAGCUAUCGGUCCACCACUCCGCCUGCGAAUUAAACAUAAAUCCUCAUUCUUCAGUCUAUGAAUAGGAAAUUAUUUAUGAAUUUAUGUCUAGAUGUUGAUGUGUGGUGUGUACAUGUGUUGAGUAACAGGGCAAUUUUACAAUGUAUUAAUUAUUAUGGCUCACAAACUGGACAAAGCAGAGGGAAGGGGAAACCAAUACCACUGCAAUUCAUUAUAGUCAAUCUUCAGGAGAGCUACACAUGCUCAACAAGAAGUGCUUUAACAGAAAUAAUCCAUCGCAAGAAAGUAAGUAUCUUGUGAGACAUCUACCUUUGAAAGUAAGUAUCUUGGGCUCCCAACUCCAGAAGGUAGAAUGAAAGAUGAAAACUUUCAACCAGUCAUGGACAGAUUUUUGAAGAGAUGCAAUGAUUGGGCUGGGAGGCAUAUGUCGUUUGCAGCUAAGGAGGUGCAUGUAAAGUCAAUAGUACAAGCCUUACCCACCUUUGUGAUGGGGCUUUUUAAGGGAUUUUGCGAUAAAUAUGAGCGCCUCAUCAGAGAAUUUUGGUGGGGUGAGGAUGAAGGACAAAGAAAGGUUCAUUGGAUGGCUUGGGGCCGUAUGAUAAAACCUAAGAGAUCAGGAGGUAUCGGUUUUCGGGAUAUGCAAAUUUUCAACCAAGCUCUCCUCGCGAGACAAAGAUGGCGCUUUCUCAAAAAAACGGACAGCUUGUGUGCAAGAGUUCUAAAAUCAAAGUACUACCCCAAGGGUUAGCUACUGGAUACGGUUUUUGCAUCCGACGCCUCCCAAGUUUGGAGGGGAAUAGAGCAUGGUCUGGAGCUAUUGAAAAAAGGCAUAAUCUGGAGAGUAGGCAAUGGGAAGAAAAUACAGCUCCAAGGGGACCAGUGGGUUCCUAGGAAAAGUGGUCUGAAGAUCAGUGUGUUCAAGAGGAGAUCAAGAAUUAGAUGGGUAAACCAGCUUAUGAAAACUGGAAGUAAAGAAUGGAACAAGCCCCUUAUCCAUCAACUCUUCCACGAAUAUGAUGCAGAAGAAAUUUGCAAGAUUAAAAUUCCUAGUAGAGAGGUGGAGGAUUGUAUAGCCUGGCAUGAAGAAAAAUCAGGUAUAUUCUCAGUCCGUAGUGCGUACAAAUUGGGUGCAAAUCUGAAACAGCAGGAAAGUUUGAGGGAGUCAAGCUCGGCUAAUGAUGCGGAUAACAGAAGUAUCUGGGAUUUUAUUUGGAAAGCGAAGCUCCCGGAAAAAAUACGAAUACUAGCAUGGAGAGUGACCACAAAAACCAUGUCCACAAAAGAAAAUAAGUGGAAGCGAUCAUUGGAGUUGGAUAAUAUAUGUAAUAUCUGUGGGAGUGAAACGGAGGAUGAAUAUCAUGCAGUAAUUAAGUGCACAAAAGCCCGAGCGCUGAGAGAGGAGUUGAGGAAACACUGGGAGUUACCGGUGGAGGACAAUUUUCAGUUUACUGGAGAUGAUUGGCUACAGAACUUGUUGGCUAAGUGUGAUACAGAAACAAGGAAAAAUAUCCUGCUGCUUAUAUGGCGCACCUGGUGGCUCCGAGACGAUUGUAUCCAUGCAGAGGGGAAGGCAACGAUUGGGCAUUCUGCCCAAUUUCUGGUUAAAUAUGCAGAAGAAAUAAGAGGUCAUGGGGCGGAGCUCACGGUACAACAGGCUGAUGUCCACCUGGUUGGUAGAUUGAAUGGGGUGGACAAGCGUCGAGCAGAAAUUAAUAGAGGAAAGCAGCUACAGGAUGGGGGCCUAUGCACACUUCAAUGGAAGCGUAAAGGUGACGGAAAUUCUGUAGCACAACCAGCAUCAGCGGUGUCCAACCCCAUGCAAACAAAUGGAAGCAAAUGGGUGCCACCUCCCAAGGGCAUCUGGAAGGCAAAUACUGAUGCGGCCUUCUUGUCGAGCACCGGGGAAACAGCCGCCGGAAUAAUAGUCAGAACGCACCUGGGUGUGGUGGCCCUCGCAGGGGGGAAGAGGAUGCAGGUAUGUAGCAGUGUGGAGGAAGCUGAAAUCAGUGCUGUUCUACAUGGGCUGUCAGUACUUAGCGAUUUCUACAGGGGGGCAAUCUAUGUGGAAUCGGACUGCGAAAAUGCGGUAGCAAUUCUGAAUAAUGAGAAAAGCAACAAAUCGCCUCUAUUUCCUCUGGUCUCCGAUGUGUGGCACCUAAAAUCAGUGUUCAAAGAGGUGAAGUUUACAACCGCAAGAAGACCCAGCAACAGAAUGGCGCAUGAGCUUGCUGCUAUGGCCAUGAAACAAGGAGAUUUUUUGUCAGUGGGAAGUGUUCCUCCGAACCUGAGUAGCAUCCUCAUGGAGGAUUGUAAUAUUUCUCUCCUCGUAACUUAAUUUGGGGCUGGGUGAUCCUAAAAAAAAACAAACAUUGCAAGCUCUCCUCGAUCCCUGCAUGCAGAUCAAACAAUAAAGCUUAGGCAAAGGUCAAAAGUGAAGAAGAUUGAACAGCAGUAAAACAAAGGAAGAUUGAACAUCAGGAAAACAAAGGAAGACUGAAGUACGAAAGCCCUGCUACAACCUUGAACUCACCUCAGCCAAAGCCUACACAGAAUGGUUGUAGCCUCAACGAUAUCCAAAGUUUUUAUACACUAAUACAAAUUUUGGUAUCAGUGGACUAAGGCCUACAAACAGAACCCCAUGGCAGUACACACAUACUAUAUUGCGGUCAAACCGUUGUAAUUGUUGGUUACUGUAAAGUAUGUAACAAAAAAACUGUUGUAGUUACCUUGCGAAAGAUCUCCGACACAGGACCAUCAUUUUUAGAUAUAGUUAGUUCUUGCUCCACUUUCUCGAGCCCUUUGUUUAUGGCCUGCAUUUCUUCUUCUAAAGACUCUAAUUAUAUCUGCAUUCAGCCAAAUAGUUCUCCAGUAACUCGAUCAAUGUAUCAUUGAUUGUCAAUAUCCAGAGUGGCCAAAACAUCAAAUACCACGUCAGAUCUAAUACCUUUGCUGCUAACUCCACGCUUGUCAAAUCUUUAUAGGGUAGUCAAGAAGUUCUGGAAGUUUCUCAGAAAGCACCUGCGGUGACAAGACAAAUUGAGUAAUUCAAGCAUAUCAACUGCAGUUCAGACUUCCAAGCUCUUCAUCACAAUGACAGGUUGGAGAGGCUAAGAUCCACUUCAAAAGUAUGAACCUCAUAAGACAGUAUCCUCAGAAAACUUAGAUCAAAGCUGCAUGGAAAAGGUGAGAAAAAUAAUAGAGAGAAAAUACAUGAACACAACCCAGCACACCGGAGAAAUUAAGUACGACACACGAAACUAGAUAUGCACCUCAAGUUAACUAAUUGCAUCAAUUGCAGGAUAAGCAAAAUAACUGGGAAAUGUUCCAUCAAGAUAACUUAAAUAUGAGUAGGCAACUUCCGGCGAGGUUCCUGUAAAGUGUAAAGUUAUUAGCUCUGUGUCGGAGAAUGAUGGUCCAGCUAACUAUAUCUGAAAAUGAUGGUCCUGUGUCGGAGAAUGAUGAGAACCUUAGAGAAUGAUUAUGCAGUAUCCAGUGGACAACAUGUUAUGCAAGCUUGCUACGUUAUGUGGUUAUUACGAUGGUAUUAUAGAAGCAAAGAUUUUAUAUGCACGACAUCCAAGGCUAGGUAAUGAUGAUUUUGACUGAGGUUUAUCCAUUAAAAUUGUUGGGUAACCCCGGAAUUUAAGAUUCCUAGGCAUGAUAUAACCAGUUAGUAGAUAUGAUUUGAACUUAUGUAUUCUGGAAUGGGAAAAAAUUCUACAUUUACUUUUUUAUUUUCUACAUUGUGGUUCGAACUUCUGUAUUUUAUAUGAUGCAGACCUAUAUAAAAACGUUUUCUGGCAAGGGAAAAAAAUUAGUAUUGAAACUAUAUACUUAUCCUGUUAUCCAUAUGAACAAAUGUAUACCUUGGAUAAAUAAUGCAUUAAGGUCAUCUUAUUGUUCACGGGUGUCUCUUAAUUUGAGUAAGCUAUCCAACCUGAAUCCAACAGCAGAACCUACAACAAACAAAACGAAAUGUGGUGCAGCCAGAAAAAAAAAGAAACAAAAAAUCAAAAGAAAUUAAAAAAUGCAUAUUGAAUUAUAAAAAAGCUAAUACAGUUUAGAUAAGAUGGUUAGCAUAAAAAACGUGCCAUCAUAUGGAAGUGUUGUAUUUCAAUUCUCUGGGACCUUGUGACACCCUGACUGUGGGCUGUCACCAUAUGAUUUGUAACCUGGGCUUGGGCUCCGUGAUGGGCCAUGUGUUGCUUUUGUGUUGGCUGGCUAGGAUCAGUAUAAAUACUACACCUGUAACCCUGAUGUGGAGAGGUUGAAAAGGAAUAGAGUCUGAACUCCCUCGCCUCCUGUUCUCUGCUCCUCACCUUCCCGGUUCUCUGUUUUCUCAUCUCUUUUCACUGAUUUCUCAUCCCAAUCUCUUCUUCAAUCGUGGUAAUCCACCGUAUCCCCCUGUUCACCGUGCAUCCAUCCCAGGGACAUGACAAUUUGGUAUUCAGAGCCAAUAAAACCUACAAAACAAUCACCACCCUCCUUCCUGCCCACCAUCUGUUCAACGAUAUGUCGAGCCACCUAGAGAUGUUCAUGUGUCUGGAGCAUAUAGUCUGGUGAAAGAAUCUGCCAUGUGGAGGUGGUGGUUCGGCUUCGAUCAAGACACGGGGCAGCGCAGGCUCUCAC
rnacentral:lncRNA from 1 species